rnacentral:rRNA from 1 species
UACGUAGGGUGCGAGCGUUGUCCGGAAUUAUUGGGCGUAAAGAGCUUGUAGGCGGUUUGUCGCGUCUGCUGUGAAAUUUCGGGGCUCAACCCCGAACUUGCAGUGGGUACGGGCAGACUAGAGUGUGGUAGGGGAGACUGGAAUUCCUGGUGUAGCGGUGAAAUGCGCAGAUAUCAGGAGGAACACCGAUGGCGAAGGCAGGUCUCUGGGCCAUAACUGACGCUGAGAAGCGAAAGCAUGGGGAGCGAACAGGA